rnacentral:rRNA from 1 species
GACGAACGCUGGCGGCGUGCUUAACACAUGCAAGUCGAACGGAAAGGCCCUGCUUUUGUGGGGUGCUCGAGUGGCGAACGGGUGAGUAACCCGUGAGUAACCUGCCCUUGACUUUGGGAUAUCUUCAGGAAACUGGGGCUAAUACCGGAUAGGAGCUCCUGCUGCUUGGUGGGGGUUGGAAAGUUUCGGCGGUUGGGGAUGGACUCGCGGCUUAUCAGCUUGUUGGUGGGGUAGUGGCUUACCAAGGCCUUGACGGGUAGCCGGCCUGGUAGGGUGACCGGCCACAUUGGGACUGAGAUACGGCCCGGACUCCUACGGGAGGCAGCAGUGGGGAAUAUUGCACAAGGGGCGGAAGCCUGAUGCAGCAACGCCGCGUGCGGGAUGACGGCCUUCGGGUUGGAAACCGCUUUCGCCUGUGACGAAGCGUGAGUGACGGUAAUGGGUAAAGAAGCACCGGCUAACUACGUG